CUCGGAAUCCAAACACACAUUUGUUUUUUCGUUCGAGCGGAUAACUUCGAAAUUGAGAGGUUGAAGCGAUUGAGGGAACAGAAAUGAUGAAUCCACGAACAGGCAAGUUGCUGAGAAGAACAGCUUGGUGGCCACCGUCGCUGCUUCAUAUUUUCUCAUAACCGCUAAGUAUGGUCCUCAAUUCAAUUUUCUCGAUUCUAAUAAUCAAUACCAAGAACGUCGGCGAGAGAAGCUCGGCUCCAAUGGUGUCGAGGACGAUCCAUUGUAAGUAGACUUGAGGAUUUAGUUACCUUUUUAUGUAUAUAUAUAUAUAUAUAUAUAUCGAGUUUGCAGUCUUUGCUUAUACGUUUCUUAAAGCUUAGGUUAAGAUAAAGCAUGAGUAGAGCUUCUGGAGGAGUUGAAUAGUGCAGUUUGUUAGAUGCUGAGACGUUUAAUGAAUUGGGUAUUACCAAAUUCAUUUAGUAAAUUAAUUUCAGAGCUUCGAAUGAAAGUAUAGGGAGUGCUUAGUGAGAGAGAUGAUCUGAUUUGGGAGUUUUAAUCAAAUUUGAAUAUCUCCUUAGCUGCUGGUGCACCCUUAGCAGAAGUUAAGAGUGAAACUUUAGAACACUUAUUUUUCUGAAUAUAAUUUUUCUCUACACAUAUUUGGAAUUCAAUGGUGCUUCCCAAGAACAAUCAAGUAGACUCUUUUCGAUUUUUGUGCAGGAAUACUUCUGAAGGAAAGAAGAAAUUUCUUUCUAACAAUGUUUUCUUUUAUGAAAAGCUUUCUUCUUCAGAUUAAAUUUUGUUAGUACCAUAAUUGUGUGAGAGUGGGGAUUGAACCAUUGAUCUGAUUUAUGAGAUAGUAAUUGGUACCUUAUUGAUUGAGGUAUUCUCGACUUAACGAAAGUAUAAAAUUGUAGUUGUAGUCAUUCUUAGUGUCAAAUGGAGUAGGUUUUUUAAACCUCCUUGGCAUGUAUGGAGAUGAUUUAUCCUUGUAAUUGUGCGACACUCACUUCCCAACAAGAAGUAAGUUAAGUUAAUUUAUUCUU